rnacentral:precursor_RNA from 1 species
AGAGGAGAGAGGGAGAGAGAGAGAGAGAGAGAGGGUUUACAAUUGAAGUGUGAUACAUAUAGCCUGCAGUGCAACUGACUGGUACCGGAUGGUACCAAUGCGCGGAUCUGCAACGAUUCUUGCUGGUGAGCAUUUCCUCUGGGAUAGUGGUAGUUGGUUACCGUGCUGUCAAUUCAUUGAAAUUUAACUUUCUCUCUCUCUCCCUCUCUCUCUCUCUCUCUCUCUCUCUUUAUUUUUCUGUUU